AUGAACGCUGGCGGCGUGCCUUAGGCAUGCAAGUCGAAUGGUGUCCCGCCGUGAGGUGGGACGCAAUGGCAGACGGGUGAGUAAUAGUAAGGAAUCUACCCCAAAGUGAAGGAUAGCUCGUCGAAAGACGGGGUAAUCCUGCAUGUGUACCUUAAAUUUGUUCGCAAAUUUAAGGUAUAAAGGGCUUAACUGCUCGCUUUGGGAGGAGCCUUACUCCUAUCAGCUUGUUGGUGGGGUAACGGCCUACCAAGGCUAUGACGGGUAGUUGGUGUGAGAGCAUGUACAACCACAAUGGCACUGAGAUACGGGCCAUACGCCUACGGGUGGCAGCAACCAGGAAUAGUCGGCAAUGGGCGAAAGCCUGACCGCGCGACGCCGCGUGAGGGAUGAAGCCUUUCGGGGUGUAAACCUCUUUUGACCCGCCAACGAGGCGGGUAGAAUAAGCGCCUACUAACUACGU
rnacentral:rRNA from 1 species